UACGUAGGGUGCAAGCGUUAAUCGGAAUUACUGGGCGUAAAGCGUGCGCAGGCGGUUGUGCAAGACAGAUGUGAAAUCCCCGGGCUUAACCUGGGAAUUGCAUUUGUGACUGCACGGCUAGAGUGUGUCAGAGGGGGGUAGAAUUCCACGUGUAGCAGUGAAAUGCGUAGAUAUGUGGAGGAAUACCGAUGGCGAAGGCAGCGCCCUGGGAUAACACUGACGCUCAUGCACGAAAGCGUGGGGAGCAAACAGG
rnacentral:rRNA from 1 species